ACAAUCUCUCUCUCUCUCUCUCUCUCUCUGUAACCUCCCUAGCAUUCGAAUGCAGUGCUCAAUGUCUCCGUCGCUGAUUACCUCUGUGCCCUAGUGCCGCCGACAAUCACUAUCUACCGCCUAUUUGAGAGGUUCUCUCUACGGUUCUUCUUGGAUCGGCCUUAAAAAAACGUACUGAGGGUUUGGUCUCUAGGGUUUCUUACCGCCAUGCCUCCUUGGCGUAAACGAGGAGCGAACAAAGCAAAGGCCAAGACUCAGUUGAGUUUGGGAGAUCUCGUUCUUGCCAAGGUCAAGGGCUUCCCUGCGUGGCCUGCGAAGAUUAGCAGACCAGAAGAUUGGGAUCGAACACCUGACCCAAAGAAGUAUUUUGUCCAAUUCUUUGGAACUCAAGAAAUAGCUUUUGUUGCCCCUGCGGAAAUUCAAGAAUUUACUGGUGAGGUGAAGAACAAAUUGUCUGCUCGGUGCCAAGGCAAAACGGUUAAGCCAUUUGCUCAAGCUGUAAAGGAAAUUUGUGAAGCUUUUGAACAAUUAGAGCAAAAAAAAUCAGGGGAAUUGAGAGUUGAUACUAAUGGAUCUGCCAUUGGGUGUGAGGCACCUUCUGUCGAUGGGUUAGAUGAUGAUGGAGUGGAGCUUGAGUCAAAAGAUGGGGUUGGUGUGACUGGGCCAAAUGAAGAAUCAGAGUUAGAGGGCCUAAACAAUGGUGGCUCAAGGUUGGAGUAUACCUCGCAUGGAGAAGGCAAGAAAGAUGGUCAAGAUGUGAAGCCUUCCAUAUCAUGUAACAAAAAUAAUACUUCUUCUCAAGUUGCAACAACUAAGAAAAAGAAUAAAGUGUUCAAUGAGGGUUUACGUUUACCAAAGAAGGAGGCAGUGUCAGCAUCCAGUCCUGCCACUCUUUCCUGUAUGAAGGAAGAAAUUUCUGGCGAUAAAAAGGAAGAUAUUGUGGAUCAUGCUGAACAGGUAGUGUCUGAUACAAAAGGAAACAGUUGUUUAUCCGACACAGAGAGAGACUCCUCUUAUGACCUGGUUGAUAAAAGAAAAGGUUCUCCAUCUUUGGCUGCAUCAGUUCGUGUCUGUCAUGCUGUUGGUGGCCAGAGGGCAUUGACAAAUGGUCACAAGUCAAAGAGAUUAGCUGCUGGGUCAAAGAAAAAAUGUGAUGGUACAGGCCUAGUGCAUAAGGGCCAUAGCCCGGAUUUAACAUCAAUGAAAUUUGAUAAGUCUGUUGGUCACUCAGAGUCUAGUGAGGAUUUGAAGGGUGGGAUGCAAAGCAAAGUUGUUCCAUGUGAGAGUGUCAAAGAAUUCUCUCCUGAUGUGGUGAAGUCAGAGUCAGAUGUCAGUAGCAGACAGAGAACAAAGAAAUUACUUAAAGCUAAAAAAAAUCCUGAGGUAGUGGAUGGUUUACAGGGCUCCGUAGUGAAGUUUAAGGAUAAAAAACUUGCUCAUGGAAAGCCUGAUUUGGUUACUAGUGGAGCAUUGAAUGCUGUCAAAACUUCAAAGCACGUUGAUACGGUGGAUGAUGUUACUGAGAGACUGCAGUUUAAAGACGGAAAUAGUGAUUCUACAAGUUACAGUGUUGGCAAUAACAAAGUGGAUAAACAUGCAGAAUUCAGAACAUCUGCUUCACGGGUGAAAGCUGAAAGCCGUCUGGCAUCAAAACUGCAGGCGGGUCCUCCUGAGUCUGACAAUGCUGGUGAUGAAGCUGUUCUUCCCUUAUCCAAACGCCGUCGGCGGGCAUUGGAGGCUAUGUCUGAUUCUACUAUGUUAACUUCUGAAGGUAAAACAGAAAAUAAUUCUGCCAUUGUUAAGAAUGCUGUGUCGUGUCCUAACAAUGUUAGGGUUCCAGCCACUCAAGUGCGUGCAAAACGAAGAGCUGUUUGUCUUGAUGAAGAUGAUGAUGAGGAGCCCAAAACACCUGUUCAUGGAGGAUCCUCCAGAAAUAUUAAUGUAGCUUCUAGUGUAUCUGAUUUUGUCAAGAAAGUGGAUACAAGUAAUGGAAGUUCUAAUUCUGCUCAACAAAGUGUUAAAGAUUUGGGUGGUUCUGAGAAUAGUCCUUUGAAGGGAAGCAUACCAUCUGCCAAAUCCCAUAAUGAAUCCUUUUCACCUAGCCUGCAGCAAACUGAGAAGAGAACUAAAAAGAUAGCAGGUGCUCCUGUGAGCCAUAGCCCUGGGAAAUUGGAAUCUGAGAAAUUAUCUUCCAAGGAGGUUAGACCAAGCAUUGUUUCUCCUAAAAAAUCUCCUCUCUCUGUUGCUGCCACCAAAACAUCAGCAGAACAACAGAAAGCCAUCAAACCCCUGGUUAAAGUAUCCAGUUCUGGUUCUCAGAAAAAGGCUUCGGCUGGAUCUGGCAAAGGUUCAGGUCUGGCUUCUGAUGGUUUGAACUCUACUCAGAAUCAAAUGCCAAUUCAAAAAAAUAAGCCAAUUUCUUCUGGAGAAAGAGCGAAAUCCACCCCCAAAACAAAUGCACGUUCAAAUGAUACCCCUGUUUUAGUGGAAAAUUUGAUAGAAAACAAUCCUUUACAUAGUGAAAGACUGGAAGAUGAUAGAACUAGUUCAUUGGCCAACACCAAGCAUGUGGAUUCUGUUAUGUCUAUGAAGCAUCUUAUUGCAGCUGCUCAGGCAAAAAGGAGACAGACUCACUCUCAAAAUCCUUUGCCCAGCAAUUUCAAUUCUGCCUUUGUAUCUGCUAGUGAUGUCCAAGGGAGCCCCAGCCCCGGUUCUGCUAUCCCAGCAUUUUUAUCUGGCACCAGUAAUGUGUCGCAGGCGGAAGUACAUGGAUUUUAUUCUCGUGCAACUUCAGUGGCUUCUCCAUCUGCCCAUGGUCGUCAAUUUGCAUCACAUAAUCAGCUUGAUCUUGAAGAAUUUGAGGAGAGAAGGGUUAGUUCAGGACAUCGGGCUGCUGGGGGUUCACUCAGUGGUGGUACUGAGGCAGCUGUUGCUCGUGAUGCGUUUGAGGGAAUGAUUGAAACAUUGUCAAGGACUAAAGAAAGUAUAGGUCGUGCAACCCGUCUUGCAAUUGAUUGUGCCAAGUAUGGCAUUGCCAAUGAGGUUGUGGAACUUCUCAUUAGAAAGUUGGAAAGUGAGCCAAGUUUUCAUCGCAGAGUGGAUCUUUUCUUUCUUGUUGAUUCUAUUACCCAAUGCUCACAUAGCCAGAAAGGCAUUGCUGGAGCCUCGUAUAUUCCUACUGUUCAGGCUGCAUUGCCUCGUCUUUUAGGUGCUGCUGCACCACCUGGAGCUAGUGCUCGCGAAAAUCGUCGGCAGUGUCUUAAGGUACUGCGUUUAUGGCUUGAGCGGAAAAUUUUGCCCGAUUCUCUUCUUCGGCGUUACAUGGAUGACAUUGGAGUUUCCAGUGAUGAGAUGGCUGCUGGUUUUUUCCUUAGGCGCCCAUCCCGAGUUGAGCGUGCUGUAGAUGAUCCUAUCCGAGAGAUGGAAGGCAUGCUUGUUGAUGAGUAUGGGAGCAAUGCUACAUUUCAGUUGCCUGGUUUUUUAUCUUCUCAUGUUUUUGAAGACGAAGAAGAUGAUCUUCCAAGCAAGGAACUUGGUGAUGCAUCACCCAUAGAACCCAUCCGUGCUCUGGGUGAGGUAGAAACAUGUAUGGUCACUCCAAAUGACAGGCGUCACUGCAUCUUGGAGGACGUGGAUGGUGAGCUUGAAAUGGAAGAUGUGUCUGGACACCCAAAAGAUGAAAAACCCUUGUUCGCAAAUGAUUCCAUGGAGAUGGACUUGCAGCAUCUGGGUUGUGAUAGGAUAUUGGAAUCAACUUCAAAUAUUUCAAUUGAUCUGCCCCCUUUGCCGGAGGGAUCUCCCCCAUUACCACUUGAUUCUCCUCCUUCUCCCCCACCUUUGCCUCCUUCACCACCGCCACCACUUGCACCACCGCCCCCCCCACCUCCACCGCCGCCACCACCACCGUUAUCUCCAUCGCCUCCACCGCCACCACCUCCUCCUCCAUCACAACCACCUCCACCUCCUUUACCACCUUCAGGGCCACCGCCCUCAUUGUUUGCUCAACCUCCCCUACCACCCCAACCUUCAUUAUUGUCUCAACCUUUAAUACCAUCUCAACCCCCACGAUCAUCGUCUUCACCAAAUGUGGCUUAUCAACCAUCUGUACCUAGUGAAUAUUGUGGCACCCCUAAUGGAAACCAACUAGUUCACAUGCCUGGAAAUGCCCCCCAUGGGAGACACAUAGAUGCUGCUGUGAAAAGUGAGAUGUUUCCCCAGCCUUCACCUUGUUUCAUGCCAACAGGAGUUCAAAAUCCAAGAGAACCUUCUGGAUAUAAUUCAUCAAAACCAUUAGAAUAUGGUCACAAUGAUGCAUAUUUGAACCCCCAAACAUCUCAAGCCAACCACCAAUUUCAAUCUGGUAAUACUGCGUUUGCACAGAGACCUUUCCAUCCUGUUCCACCUCCUCAAACAGCACCCAGUCAUUUUUCGUAUCCAAAGCCCACAGCACAGCAACAUCAGCAACAUCUUUAUGCCCGCCCAUAUUCGUUGCCGUCCCUUCCUGACGGGCGGAGGCGAUAUGCUGCUGAUGAACAGUGGAGGAUGCCCUCUGGCGAAUUAAAUGUAGAUAAUCAGCGGAGUGUGUGGAUGAGCGGAGGGAGAACUCCAUGUUCAGGCCCACCUUUUGUCCAAGAAGGUUAUCUUCGGCCACCUGCUGAAAGACCUCCUACCAACAAUGUGGUUUUCCAACCCCCGAAUGCUUUGCCUGCUGGAGGUCCAAUUCCAGGUCAUGGUGUUUCCCAGAUGUUGCCAUCUAGACCAGACAUUGCUGCCGUAAAUUGUUGGAGGCCAGGAUAGCAGUUAACCUGAAACUCCAGUUUGUAACUUCAUGCCAUAGGCGGUAGAAUCAAUUGGAAGUUUAAGAAAAGGUCAUAUUGCUUUGAAAGUGAAUGUUUGGAUGAAGCCUGAUUUAAAGGUGGCGUCAAGAGCCUUUGGAUACAGUUGGCAGGGCUGUGUAUAUUGUAAAUUUCCCUGACAAAUGCAUCCUGUGGAUUUUUUGCUUCCUAAUGUUUUGGCAACAUAGUUAACCUGACUUGCCACCAUUUAUGGGGCUUCAUUUUGGAAACCCACCAAGGAAUAAGGUCAAAACAUGCCUGAUUAGUCUUCUGCAAAAUGUUGAGGUAACCUAGAAAGGCAUGCGGGGCGGCUCAGAGGUAGAGGAGGCAGCUGAGUCGGCGUAGAUUUGGGGUGAGUCUUGUGCUGAGUUAUAUAGUCCUCAACAUUUUGGGAUUUUUGGGGUAAUGAUGUGUAUGUGUGUGUGUAUAUAUAUAGGUGGAUUUGUAGCACUUUGGUAUUGUGUAUUUUGGAAUAUGGUUUGAAUGCCUAGGUUUUCCGCUGCAUAGGCAUUAUACAAGAUAUGUACAGGUUACCAUGACUCCCACUCCGAGUCAUGAUGAUGACAAAUAUUUACACGUAGGGUAUCAGAGGUUAUAUAUAUAUGGUCUAAAAAAAAUGGUAUGAAUUUUUAGGUUGUUACAGCAUGGGAUGAUUCAGACUCAAGUGAUUAAGAAAAAGCCACUUGUUGCUUGAUGGCAUUAAACGAUGAAGAGGUGCACAUCUCUUCCUCUACCUCUUGUAAUAUUGUAAUGAAUCCUGUGAUGAAUCAUAUUAUAAUUCUUGUGGUGA